UACGAAGGGGGCUAGCGUUGUUCGGAAUUACUGGGCGUAAAGCGCAUGUAGGCGGUUCUUUAAGACAGGGGUUAAAUCACGGGGCUCAACCCCGGAAUUGCCUUUGAUACUGGAGAGCUAGAGUUUGGGAGAGGUGAGUGGAAUUCCGAGUGUAGAGGUGAAAUUCGUAGAUAUUCGGAGGAACACAAGUGGUGAAGGCGGCUCUCUGGCCCGAAACUGACGCUGAGAUGCGAAAGCGUGGGGAGCAAACAGG
rnacentral:rRNA from 1 species